UCCGAAGGGGGCUAGCGUUGCUCGGAAUCACUGGGCGUAAAGCGCACGUAGGCGGAUUGUUAAGUCAGGGGUGAAAUCCCGGAGCUCAACUCCGGAACUGCCUUUGAUACUGGCGAUCUUGAGUCCGGGAGAGGUGAGUGGAACUGCGAGUGUAGAGGUGAAAUUCGUAGAUAUUCGCAAGAACACCAGUGGCGAAGGCGGCUCACUGGCCCGGUACUGACGCUGAGGCACGAAAGCGUGGGGAGCAAACAGG
rnacentral:rRNA from 1 species